rnacentral:rRNA from 1 species
AAUGAACGCUGGCGGCGUGGUUAAGACAUGCAAGUCGAACGGGACUUCGUGAAGGGCAACCGGAUCGAAGUUCAGUGGCGAACGGGUGCGUAACACGUGAACAAUCUACCUCGAAGUGGGGAAUAGCUCGGCGAAAGCCGAAUUAAUACCGCAUGUGGUCGGGACUCGCAUGAGUCUCGAACUAAAGUCAGGGACCGCAAGGCCUGACGCUUUGAGAGGAGUUCGCGGCCUACAGCUAGUUGGCGAGGUAACGGCUCACCAA